UGCCACCAAUGUCGAGCAGGCGUUCAUGAC
rnacentral:piRNA from 1 species